rnacentral:lncRNA from 9 species
GUAGAAGUGACUUGUUGAAGCUCCUUAUAAAUAGCAGGCUCCAAACUGAAUUGAGGACUUCCUGUUUUAGACCUUAAAGCUAGUCUUCUUCGAAUAAAUUUCCAGAACUCAGGCCAAACCUUUUCCCCCCAAAAAAAACCCCAAUAGUGUGAAUUUCCCCUUAGGCUCAGGGACCUGCCCUGUCCUAGCCCAGAGAGAAGGAGCUGAGCUGAAAGCCCUUGAACUCCAGCUUUCCAGCCCUCUGUGCAGUCCUGCCUUCUCAAGGGGCCUCAGCUCUGGAGCAGCUGAGUAUAACUGACAGCUUGCUGGGCUGUCACUUCCUCUGAACUCCUGUUGUCCUUCCAGAGCUCCUGGUUUUCCUGCCUUGCAGUCCAGCUGCAGAAAUAGUUACAGCCUGCCUCCCUCCGGGUGCAGCCCAGGGGGGUGUGUGACCCAGAGUCUGGCCCCAAGCAGGGGAUUCGUCUGCUUGUCUCUUCUCAUCUGCAUUAGUGUUAAUUCACCACCACCCCCAGAGGAACUUGACCAGUGUCCUCACUUCAGAGGGCUGAAUCUGCAGCCCAGAGGAGUUAAAUGACUUUCUGGAAGUCAGGCAAGGAAAGGACAGCUUAGAUUCCUGGCAGGAGCUUCCUGCCAGGAGCUUCCUACCCAGCCCCCAUGCUCUAACAUCUCCCCUAUCCUGUCUUACCUGUGAUACCAAGAGCAGGAGCACUGACUCCUGGAGAAGAGGCGUCGUGAACUCAGGGAUGAAAGAUACAAGAGUCCAUGUGGCUUACCCCUGCCUCCAGGUUCUGAUAUCCUUCCCUAAGCCACUCUUGUAUGGGAACAUCUGGUCAUCACACCUGGGCUCUGACUUGCCAUGGCAAGCUGUCCUUGGACUUAGAACCUCUACUCAUCUGCUGGGGCUGACAGCCCAUGAAGAUGCUACCUUCCUACUCAUGAAUUUGUUCUUCACACCCCUCCCCUUGGACUCCAAUGCCUUUUCUGGACUAUCCCCACAUGGAGGCUCAUCUUGCUUUGCUUGGGUACUGACUCCCUACAUCAGUAUUCCCCCUACUUUUGUGGGUGCCCUUGCUACUCUGCUCUGACCCCCAUGCCAGGUCGCCCCUCUCUGUGGAUUCCUACCUUGCUCUGCCUUACCCAACAGCUUCAGGACUGCAUUGUUCAGGAAGGGGAAGGAGUAAGUCUGCUUUCAUAAAUCUUUGCAUAGUUACUUGGGUUUUUUUUUCCUAAGAUAUAAUAAUAGCUAAUGCUCAUGGUGCUUAUUGGGUGCUAAGCAUUUUUCUAGACACUGUACACUGAACCCAGCUAAUUCUCAUAAUCUCUAGAGAAGGUUGUAUAAUUAUAAUCCAAUUAUAAUUUUAUUAUAUAACUAUAUAAUUUUUUUUUUUGUCUUUUUAGGGCCACACUCAUGGCAUAUGGAGGGUCCCAGGCUAGGGGUCAAAUUGGAACUACAGCUACUAGUCUACACCAUAGCCAUAGCAAUAUGGGAUCUGAGCCACAUCUGCAACCUACACCACAGCUCACAGCAAUGCCAGAUCCUUAACCCACUGUGCGAGGCCAGGAAUCGAAACUGCGUGCUCAUGGAU